GGCUGCGGGCUGCAACGGCGAGAGGCGCUCGGUGGCAGCCGCGGGCCCGGCCGUGGCCUCAGAGGCCUGGCUGAGCCUGCGGGACGGGAGUAGCUGCCACCCCCUGCUCGGCGCGGCCCGCGUUACACAACCUGCUUGUUAUUCCAUCCUGUGCGCCGGCGGUCCCGGGCGGAUUCCUUCAGGGCUGGAUAUGCUGGGCUCGUCCUUUCCUACGUGUGGAACAGGAACAGCCUCCGGAGCCCGUCGGCCCCGGGCGGACACGGCUCGUGCUGCCUGUUGGUGGGCGCGCGUUCUCGCCUCGGCCGCCUCUCCCCGGGAACAGCUGCUCCACGUGCACUGCGGGACCCGUGGCGCACAUUUACAUAAAUCCACACCAGAGGGGCCGCUAACGUGUGUUUGUCAGGGCAUCCGAACUUGGAGUAGUUUGAUCGUUACGUAAUGUUAUCCAAGAGCAGGACUGUCUUUCUAGUUUGCAUUAUAGCGUUAGCUAAGUGCAACACUGGUUAUGCUGUUCUCAGUUCUGAUGGCUGGCAUGAGGUGCAGUACAGGCUGGUUACUGCAUGUAUCAAGUUUCAACACCCCCAAAAGAGACACACAAUGGUCUUUCUAAAAAUCAAAUUUAGAAUUAUCUUAUGGAUGGCUAUAUUAAUGUUGCCUUUACAUAUUCCUCAUAUUUUGUAUUGAAAUGCAAACAUCAUUUCAAGACAAAGAAGGAUGAAGUUAAAAUGCAUUGGUUUUCCUUUCGUUUCUUUUUUUCAGUUCUGUUUUGAGUCUUUGAGUUGUGUGUUCUCUAGGGCUUUCUGUAGUGCUAUGAAGGCUGGAAUACAUUAAAUAUUUCUCUUGCUACCAUCGCAGUAAAAAGGAAGCAUUAAACUGAAGGCAUGGUAACACAGCAAUAUUUUCAGGCACCACACAGGGUAGUUGCAACAAAACGGUAGCACCUUUGAAGCAGAGCACAGUUUUUAACCCACUCAUAUUUUUUUUUCUCCCUUGUGAUAUGAUUCUUAAAUCACCAUUAUGCAAAUCACCACAAGGGGUUUUUUUACAGUUUUCUCCCAGCUUCAGAAGGUCUUUACUAUCUGGAGCAAAAUUCGGUUAAACACAUUUGCAUUGCACAAAUUUUCCAGCAUUCAGCCCUUUUGAUUUCAUUGCUUUUGACACAAGCAGCAGGCAAAGCACUGUUGGUAAUCUGAUCAUUGUUAAUUGCCCUAUUCAGUUCUUUCUUUACACUGUCAAAAGUCACAUAACUCCAGUGACCCAUCUCAGUUUAACAGUGUGCACUUUCGAUGUGACCACACUGGGCCAGUCCCUUUAUAGUCGCAACUGUGUGUCAUUUAUAUAGUGAACUUGCCCACCUGUGGCACCUAUGUAACAGUUUGAUUUCACAUUUUAAAAAAAUGGACCCCAAUGGCCAAUUUCAUAGGUAUUACAGAGAUCUUUGUAUACAGUGACAGACCAGGUGUACACAAUUUCAACUGCACCAUCUGCUAGCUUUCCUUGCAAUAUUUUUAUCAUGUCCCUUUAUACAUGAGCUCCUUGGUAAUAGUCCAGAUCUUACUUUCCAGAGGAAAGCAACCUAUUUAUUUUCAGGAAACAGUCUGCUAGUGCCCCAAACACAAGAAAAAGCAGUAGAAGGCAGUUCCUUUGCUUAUAGUUCCAAGUCUCUACUUAGCCUCUUUCCAAGAUGUUCCUGAAUUAUUUUCCUUACAGCCUUUCCCCACCUUUCUAUGUUUUUUGUUCUAAAUGGAGUUUUUGAAAAUACACUAUACACAGGUAUCAUACUGGUCUUAAACAUGGUCACUUUUGAAUGUUAAUUACUAGUUCUCCAGUUGUCAAAGUGUGGAAAGGAGUUAGAAAUACGCUUAACUGAAUAAAGAAUGUAUUGGGUUUGGUGGUGGACAAACAGGUUUUCUCCCCUGCUGCAGGGCAGUAUUUGCUACUGUCAAAAGCUGAGAUAUGUUAUAGCAGUAGGUCAAUAACUGUUCAAACAACAUCUCACAGGAACAUCAUUCUAUUGUCUGGGUAUGUCUGUAUGUAUUUUCUCAAGAGAGUUGAUUUAAAUUAUUUUAAAACCCAGGUGCUUCAUUGAUUUUGUAAAUUGCAUAACUUCCUAGAAUGUCAUACAAAGUUAGACUUCUGAAAUAAAUUACUUGUUGUAAUAA